rnacentral:rRNA from 1 species
GACGAACCGUGCGAACGUUGUUCGGAAUCACUGGGCUUAAAGGGCGCGUAGGCGGGCUCGCAAGUCAGGGGUGAAAGCCCACGGCUCAACCGUGGAAGUGCCUUUGAUACUGCGGGUCUGGAGGGAGGUAGGGGCGUGCGGAACUUCCGGUGGAGCGGUGAAAUGCGUAGAUAUCGGAAGGAACACCGGUGGCGAAAGCGGCGCGCUGGACCUCUUCUGACGCUGAGGCGCGAAAGCCAGGGGAGCAAACGGG